rnacentral:rRNA from 1 species
UCUUUGCUCCUCUCUCUCCUUCGGCACGGGGACAAAAUCAGAUCCCUCCCACCCGGGAUUACAAUAUCUUUCUUUGCUGCUGCUUCUUCAACCUUCCGCUGCUGCUGCUUCUUCUCGGGUCCAAAAAAUAAAUGGUAAACAAACAAAGCGGGCACCAACCACCAACAACUGUUAUACCAGCGUAUGAUAAUGCGGAGGAGGGCCUCCCGCAGAAAUUUUCUUGGUGUUCUUUAUUGUUGCUGCUGUUAGCGGGGGGAUGGGAUGGGAUGGGAUGGGAUGGAUAAUUGGGUGGUGGGGUGGGGGCGUUCGGGGGCGGGUUUAGGCUUUAAUCCAAACCGGAGGGAGCUGUUGGGGAGGCAUUUGGUUUGUUUGGCGGUGCGUCCACCCCCACCACCACCACGGCCACCACGGCCUCCUUCCGGUUGCUUCUUC